UGGGGAAGGAGGUUGGUGGGGGAGAAGUAGUAAUGGGGAGGGUGAAGUAGUUGUGACGGUUACCCCAAGUAAGGAGGGGUAUAUACCGCCAGAGAUGUCCUCUUCCCUUAGUCUGAGCAGCGCUGCAGUGUUCUCCAGUUGAUAUCCCAGCCAACCAAGAAGUAGUAGUAAAGAUGGGGAGGGAGGUUGGUGAGGGUAAGUACUAAGGAUGGGGAG